UACGUAGGGGGCAAGCGUUGUCCGGAAUUAUUGGGCGUAAAGAGCGUGUAGGCGGUCCGGUAAGUCGGCUGUGAAAGUCCAGGGCUCAACCCUGGGAUGCCGGUCGAUACUGCCGGACUAGAGUUCGGAAGAGGCGAGUGGAAUUCCCGGUGUAGCGGUGAAAUGCGCAGAUAUCGGGAGGAGCACCUAUGGCGAAGGCAGCUCGCUGGGACGUUACUGACGCUGAGACGCGAAAGCGUGGGGAGCAAACAGG
rnacentral:rRNA from 1 species